UACAGAGGGUGCGAGCGUUGUCCGGAAUUACUGGGCGUAAAGGGCGCGUAGGCGGCGCGGUAAGUCGGGUGUGAAAUCUCGGGGCUUAACUCCGAAACUGCAUUCGAUACUACCGUGCUUGAGGACUGGAGAGGAGACUGGAAUUUACGGUGUAGCGGUGAAAUGCGUAGAUAUCGUAAGGAAGACCAGUGGCGAAGGCGGGUCUCUGGACAGUUCCUGACGCUGAGGCACGAAGGCCAGGGGAGCAAACGGG
rnacentral:rRNA from 1 species